GGGGCGCUGAGGGUUCCCCCCCCGAGCCACACCGCGCCGUGAUUUUCCUCAGAGAGGCUCGGAGGUGGGGUCUGGAAAGGGCUCUGCCUUACCCAAAGCCCGAGCGCAUCUCCCUGCCUGCUGCUGAGCUGCGCUCUGGGGCCAAACCUGCUGCAAACCCGGCACCAGCUCAGUGCCAGGCCCAGAGUAUUUUUCCCUUCUUUUUAUCAGUAUGGUGAGAAACACGACUGAAACGCGAGAUUUGUUAUCAGAAGCACAGCUUGUGUCCCCGGGAAAAGGAACCGCAGAUCAGAGAUGGGAGGCUCUUGGGACCAGGCAGAAUACACAACAGCACAAAAGCAGCUUAGCAGAAACAGCCAGAACUCGUGCAGUCUUUCAACGUAUAACAAUUACUUCAGCCUGUACCUAACUGGCCUCUCAAAUUAACCACACCUCACGAGCCAGCGUCCAGUUGUGCUUU